rnacentral:rRNA from 1 species
AGGAUGAACGCUAGCGGGAGGCUUAACACAUGCAAGUCGAGGGGUAACAUGAGGUAGCAAUACUUUGAUGACGACCGGCGCACGGGUGAGUAACGCGUAUGCAACCUACCCUGUACAGGGGGAUAGCCCGGAGAAAUUCGGAUUAAUACCCCAUAAAGAUAUUUAGAGGCAUCUUUAGAUAUUUAAAGUUUCGGCGGUACGGGAUGGGCAUGCGUAACAUUAGCUAGUUGGUAGGGUAACGGCCUACCAAGGCUACGAUGUUUAGGGGACCUGAGAGGGUGAUCCCCCACACUGGUACUGAGACACGGACCAGACUCCUACGGGAGGCAGCAGUGAGGAAUAUUGGUCAAUGGACGGAAGUCUGAACCAGCCAUCCCGCGUGAAGGAAGAAGGCGCUAUGCGUUGUAAACUUCUUUUCCGAGAGAAGAAAACCCCCGACGUGUCGGGGCUUGUCGGUAUCUUGGGAAUAAGCAUCGGCUAACUCCGUGCCAGCAGCCGCGGUAAUACGGAGGAUGCGAGCGUUAUCCGGAUUUAUUGGGUUUAAAGGGUGCGUAGGCGGACCGAUAAGUCAGUGGUGAAAACCUGCAGCUUAACUGUAGACGUGCCAUUGAUACUGUCGGACUUGAGUGUGGUCAAGGUAGGCGGAAUGUGUAAUGUAGCGGUGAAAUGCUUAGAUAUUACACAGAACACCGAUUGCGAAGGCAGCUUGCUGGACCAUUACUGACGCUGAUGCACGAAAGCGUGGGGAGCGAACAGGAUUAGAUACCCUGGUAGUCCACGCCGUAAACGAUGAUCACUCGCUGUUAGCGAUAUACAGUUAGCGGCUAAGCAAAAGCAUUAAGUGAUCCACCUGGGGAGUACGGCCGCAAGGCUGAAACUCAAAG